UCUCAGCGAAUGUACUAAAAGCGUGUCUUGGUAACCUCUAAAGCUACAGCGAUAGAAAAUGGAAAGGUCUGAGCCUACUCUUAGUGCCACUGCUUGAUGUUUGUGUGGUCCUGCUGUGUUUUCAAAUGUCAUGUCCCUUGCCCAAAAUCCAUCAGCAGACACACCUAAAAUGAAAAGAGAUCUGAGCCUACUCUUAAUGCCACUGCUUGAUGUUUGUGUGGUCCUGCUGUGUUCUCAAAUGUCAUGUCCCUUGCCCAAAAUCCAUCAGCAGACACACCUAAAAAUGAAAAGAAAACUGGGUUAAGUAUGUAAGUCACUCAAUGUGCAAAAGAAGGUGUGGCUCAAAGUCAUGAACAGAGUAAAAUAAAAAUCAGGGGAGGUCAGAGUUCAAAUCUACAAAAUAUGCUAAGUUAUUUCUUCUCAUCUACCUAAGCGAACGAGUUACUAGAUGUCUGUAUCGGGGUGAUGGACACGGUGA
rnacentral:lncRNA from 1 species